rnacentral:tRNA from 1 species
UCGCGACGCGGGGCCCGGUCGCCCCGGUCGUCGAACGACCGACGCGGUCGGUCGUCGUCGCGGCGCGGCCGGUCAUCGCGGCCGGCGCGACC